GAGGAAUAUUGGUCAAUGGACGGAAGUCUGAACCAGCCAAGUAGCGUGCAGGAUGACGGCCCUAUGGGUUGUAAACUGCUUUUGUAUGGGGAUAAAGUUAGGGACGUGUCCCUAUUUGCAGGUACCAUACGAAUAAGGACCGGCUAAUUCCGUGCCAGCAGCCGCGGUAAUACGGAAGGUCCAGGCGUUAUCCGGAUUUAUUGGGUUUAAAGGGAGCGUAGGCUGGAGAUUAAGUGUGUUGUGAAAUGUAGACGCUCAACGUCUGAAUUGCAGCGCAUACUGGUUUCCUUGAGUACGCACAACGUUGGCGGAAUUCGUCGUGUAGCGGUGAAAUGCUUAGAUAUGACGAAGAACUCCGAUUGCGAAGGCAGCUGACGGGAGCGCAACUGACGCUUAAGCUCGAAGGUGCGGGUAUCAAACAGGAUUAGAUACCCUGGUAGUCCGCACAGUAAACGAUGGAUGCCCGCUGCUGGUACCUGGUAUCAGCGGCUAAGCGAAAGCAUUAAGCAUCCCACCUGGGGAGUACGCCGGCAACGGUG
rnacentral:rRNA from 1 species